GACGAACGCUGGCGGCGUGCUUAACACAUGCAAGUCGAACGAGUGGCGAACGGGUGAGUAACACGUGGGUGAUCUGCCUUGCACUUCGGGAUAAGCUUGGGAAACUGGGUCUAAUACCGGAUAGUGCAAGAUGAGCUCGCGGCCUAUCAGCUUGUUGGUGGGGUAAUGGUUACCAAGGCGUGACGUGUGGCCGGCCUGAGAGGGUGUACGGCCACAUUGGGACUGAGGAACGGGCCAGACUCCUACGGGGGGAAGCGGUGGGGAAUAUUGCGCGAUGGGCGGAGGCAUGAUGGAGGGACGCCGGGUGGGAGAUGAAGGCCUUCAGGUUGUAAACUCCUUUCGACAGGAACGCGGUACCUGUAUAAGAAGCACCGGCUAACUACGUGCCAACAGCCGCGGUAAUAC
rnacentral:rRNA from 1 species